UGUUUGCACUUAGCGGGAAGGAUAAGAAGCUUCGACUAAGGUUCGACUCGAGCGCCAGCGAGAGAACGUUGCCGCAGGCAACGGCCCGAAGGGCGAGG
rnacentral:sRNA from 1 species